rnacentral:tRNA from 1 species
GCUUUUGUGGUAUAACGGUAGCACGCUCGGCGCGUAAUCGAGAGGUUCAGGUUCGAGUCUUGGCGAGGGCA